rnacentral:ncRNA from 6 species
UGAGGUAGUAGGUUGUAUAG